AGCUUGAUCUCCGUUGUUGUCUCCGAACAAAUUCUCUUCCACAGCUGCAAAAAAGAAAACCGAUAAAUUCCUUAUCUUCAAAUAGCAAAUUAAGAAAAUUUAAACACCUAAAAGACGAACCUUGGAAGCCUGACGACCAAUAUAAAGCGACAUCUUUUCUUUUUUUUAAUGUAACCACCGCUUUUGUAUUACAUCAUAAACCAACUUUGAAUGUCAAUAUCAUUCAUCCUAAACCCACAUUAAACCCUUCAUCUUAAUAAAAUUCAAUUCAAAGGCUAAACUCAAAAAACAAACCAAUUUGCCAAAUUGGGUUUUGGAGAGGGAAUUAAAUUACAAGGGGAAAAUUUGAAUAAGAAACAAAUGGUCAAAGCUGUGGAAAAGUUGAAGGAAAAUCAGUCUAACAGGAAAGGUCUUUCUCCUGGUAGAUUGAUUUCCUUUUGUGUGUGUGUGUAGAAACUGGUAAAUGCUACUUUUAAUAUGUGUGAUUUUUCUUUCUUCUCUCUCUAAGUUUCUCUCUCCUUUUGUUGAGUUUGAUUUGUCUCCGAUGUCUGCUAACGAGUUGAACACGGAGAGACGAUUGCUAAAAAUAAACACAGCUUUUGAGAAAGAGGUAAAUUGUAUAUGAAAAUCGCCGCGCGAGUUAGCAAAA
rnacentral:lncRNA from 1 species